AUGUCCACGUGGCAUGAUAAUUCCUUUGAGACUUUAAUUUGUGUUUUGUUUUUUGUGUUUUCUCUCCCUCAUUGGCCAGGCCUUCCUUUGUGUUCCUUUGACUGAGGUCAGCCUCUGUUCCAGGUAUUUGUUUUUAAAAGCGUGAAGUUAUUAAGGGGUAUUAAGCUAGAGGGAGGGAAGACAAGUGUUUUAAAGAGUGGAGAAAAGAGAGGCUCUGCACCGCACACCCAAGCAGGUGCCUUCCUACAUCCCUAGACAUUUCAGGAUGCUCAGCUGAUUUCCAUCUGCCAGGAUCUGCAUCUCGGUGUCAACGGUCUCAUUCCCUUGGAAGUUCAGAAAAGUGUGCCACCUAUUUGCAUGGAAGACCAAAGGAGCAAAGAAUUAAGCUGCUCUCCUCCCAACAGGCAGAUACCCCAGUCAAUGGCUCUUAGAAGUUGAUGUAUAAAUACCCCAGCUUCUUGGCCCUUGUGUAUAAUAAUUCUGCAGUGUGUUUUGCACAAUCCCUUAACGUUUGCUUGGAGGAUUGAGCUCCAGUGCCCACUGUGGUAGCCGGCUUGAUGACACACAUUUUAUUGGCUUUCUUCCCUUCCCUGUAUCCCCCAGCCACUUCAUAUCAGCAUUCCGUGAACCUCUCAAAUGAACCACCUGCACCUGAACUUGUUUCAGGGUCUGCUUCUACGGGAACCAAACUAAACCACCUGCACCUGAACUUGUUUCAGGGUCUGCUUCUAUGGGAACCAAACUAAGACACCUUAAAUAUUGACUCUCCUCUAGAACAUCUGGUAUCUCAGUCAUAAAAAGAAUACUGGGGGAAUAGAUUCAGAGUAUGAGUCAUCAUACUAUUUCUUGUUUUUCAAAUUAUUUGGAAAUUAUCUCACCUGGGUGUACUUUUUUGCUUUAGUAGUGACAUUGAAGGAGUUGGCAAUUAGAUGGAGUACAUGCUGUGGUUUCUCCCACCAAAGAUAUCAUUCUUGAGCGAAGUGAACAUCUAAAGAAUGUCCUGGAUUGCCCACAUGCAGAGAUAAUAAUCAAAAUAUUUAACCGGUUCAGCAUGGUCCUCAACCAAUCAUAAAAGAUGCUGGUCUACAUGCUGCAGGGCUGCUUCACCACCUGACCAUAGGCUCUGCCCAGUGAAACACAGGGGUCCCAGUUCUGCCUGGGUCAAAUCUGCAGGUAGGGUUGAGAGGUCACUGAGCAGAGAAGGGUUUACUUGGCUUUCUCCAAGGGGGCUCAGAGGUAGGUGGGUAUGAUUUUGAUUCCUCCUCAGAAAAAGAAGUGACGUGUAGAAACAUUUAGUGAACAUCUCUGAAGGGAGCUAAAGGCCCAGCAGGGGCCACAUCGGCAGGGACUUUGAGAGCUUUACAUUCCAACAUAUUAUUUGUGUUUUCUUCUGAGUAUGGAAGUAAAGCCACAAACUGCAUCAGGUUCCCUUCUGGAAGAAUGUCUCUUCUCCAUUGUGGGUGGUCUGGGCAAGACCAAAAAGCAAAGCAGCCAGCCUGUAGGUGUGUAUAUGAUCCAAGGUAAGUCCAUCAGUCUCUCCUGGAACUAUAAAAGUGAAGCAGAAUGAUGAAAGGAUGGGAGAAAAUGUCGUUGGUUUUCAUUUACGCAGUGAGAGUGCUCAUUCAUUCAUGCAGUAGGGAUGCUAUAAAGUAUGGUCAACUGCUUCCUGCUACCCAGACCACAGAGUUGCCUGGUUACUCUUCUUGUCCUUGACCCUCUCAUUGGCUCUGUGAGCCUUUUGAUAGCCUUUCGGUAAUUUCCUUUUACUGCUUAAAAUUUCCAGAGCUGGUUAAUUUUACUUACACCUAAAGAACCAUAACAAAAUUGGCUCCUAUAUGCUUAUCUUCAGCCAUGUUUGGUGGAGAAUGGACCUCUUGAAAGAUUGUGUGGCAGCAACUACUGAAAAGGGAAGAAAAGAAGCCAGUCCCUGGAUCUUCAGCAAACAAGAGGAAGAAGACACAAGAGUUACAUCAGGAAAGAGCAAGAAGUGACAAUAAGACAUCAACAUAGCAUAUUGAAGGAACCCAAACUCUGUGACCCAACUUUCCAGGUGCCAAAAAGGAGUCUAUGUUCAGAAGGGAGUGUUGAGGCGUCACUGGAGUGUGUGUGGGGAGAGUCCAUUGGUCACCCAGGACUGAUCCGGUCAAACCCCUGUGGCUCCAGACACUCGGAACCAUUAUCAAAACGUCAGUCUAUGAUGCCAUCCUCAGAAACAGAAGUCUACAUGUAGUCAAGCAUUCUCAUUGCAAAAGACCAUAUCUUCUAGUUUUCAUUAAGGUUAAUGUGACAGUGGAAAGAUACGAUUGAAUUUUCAGCAUGGUAAAAGUUUGACUACCUAAAACUAUCAGAUGGAAAAAGGUGCCAUGUCUAAAUAUACUGCUGGUUGCUGAAAGGAAAGCUCAAAGCCUUGCUGCUUUUCUUGUCAGUGAUCGCCAGAAGAAGAGGAGUAUUUUGAUCAAUCUUGCUCACAAGACGCCUCCUGCAAGCUCUGGGGUUCAGAAAGAAUUGACUUAUUCUUAAUAGUCAAACCCCAGUUCAUUGAGAGGUUCUACCAUGUUUGCUUUUUUGGGGCGGGAAAAUCUUCUAUUUUGCAUUCCUCCUUUUUAAUCUUUGGCUUGGCACAUCCCUAAGUUGUGAAAUCUCCUUGUGUGUUAAGAGCAGUGUUUUAAUACCAAUUUAUAAACAUGCGAGUACUUAUAUAAAUUUAGACAUGUAAAUGCAUGUCUUUUAUUGGUUUUCCUCUUACACCUAAUAAAAUC